AUUGAACGCUGGCGGCAGGCUUAACACAUGCAAGUCGAGCGGGGUGAUGGUGCUUGCACUAUCACUUAGCGGCGGACGGGUGAGUAAUGCUUAGGAAUCUGCCUAUUAGUGGGGGACAACAUCUCGAAAGGGAUGCUAAUACCGCAUACGUCCUACGGGAGAAAGCAGGGGAUCACUUGUGACCUUGCGCUAAUAGAUGAGCCUAAGUCGGAUUAGCUAGUUGGUGGGGUAAAGGCCAACCAAGGCGACGAUCUGUAGCGGGUCUGAGAGGAUGAUCCGCGACACUGGGACUGAGACACGGCCCAGACUCCUACGGGAGGCAGCAGUGGGGAAUAUUGGACAAUGGGGGGAACCCUGAUCCAGCCAUGCCGCGUGUGUGAAGAAGGCCUUAUGGUUGUAAAGCACUUUAAGCGAGGAGGAGGCUCUUUUGGUUAAUACCCAAGAUGAGUGGACGUUACUCGCAGAAUAAGCACCGGUUAACUCUGUGCCAGCCGCCGCCGUAA
rnacentral:rRNA from 1 species